ACGGGAGGCAGCAGUGGGGAAUAUUGCACAAUGGGGGAAACCCUGAUGCAGCGAUGCCGCGUGAAGGAUGAAGGGUUUCGGCUCGUAAACUUUUAUCGAUAGUGAAGAAACAAAUGGCGGUAACUAAGUAAGAAGCUCCGGCUAACUACGUGCCAGCAGCCGCGGUAAUACGUAGGGAGCGAGCGUUAUCCGGAAUUACUGGGUGUAAAGGGAGUGUAGGCGGGACUGUAAGUCAGAUGUGAAAUAUGCCGGCUCAACUGGCAGACUGCAUUUGAAACUGCGGUUCUUGAGUGAAGUAGAGGUAAGCGGAAUUCCUAGUGUAGCGGUGAAAUGCGUAGAUAUUAGGAGGAACAUCAGUGGCGAAGGCGGCUUACUGGGCUUUAACUGACGCUGAGGCUCGAAAGCGUGGGGAGCAAACAGGAUUAGAUACCCUGGUA
rnacentral:rRNA from 1 species